GAUGAACGCUAGCGGCAGGCUUAACACAUGCAAGUCGAGGGGUAGAGGUUGCUUGCAACCUUGAGACCGGCGCACGGGUGCGUAACGCGUAUGCAACCUACCUUUUACAGAGGGAUAGCCCAGAGAAAUUUGGAUUAAUACCUCAUAGUAUAUAGUCUUCGCAUGUUGACUAUAUUAAAGUUCCAACGGUAAAAGAUGGGCAUGCGUCCUAUUAGCUAGAUGGUAAGGUAACGGCUUACCAUGGCAACGAUAGGUAGGGGUCCUGAGAGGGAGAUCCCCCACACUGGUACUGAGACACGGACCAGACUCCUACGGGAGGCAGCAGUGAGGAAUAUUGGACAAUGGGCGCAAGCCUGAUCCAGCCAUGCCGCGUGCAGGAAGAAGCAUCUAUGGUGUGUAAACUGCUUUUGUACGGGAAGAAACACUCCGACGUGUCGGAGCUUGACGGUACCGUAAGAAUAAGGAUUGGCUAACUCCGUGCCAGCCGCCGCCGUAAUAC
rnacentral:rRNA from 1 species